rnacentral:rRNA from 1 species
CACGUAGGGGCCAAGCGUUGUCCGGAUUUACUGGGCGUAAAGGGCGCGUAGGCGGUCAGCACAAGUCAGUUGUGAAAUCUCCGGGCUUAACUCGGAAAGGUCAACUGAUACUGUGCGACUAGAGUGCAGAAGGGGCAACUGGAAUUCUCGGUGUAGCGGUGAAAUGCGUAGAUAUCGAGAGGAACACCUGCGGCGAAGGCGGGUUGCUGGGCCGACACUGACGCUGAGGCGCGAAAGCCAGGGGAGCGAACGGG